ACAGUCUGAGUUAGACACUACAUGACAUCCAACAUGUUCUUUCUGUUCCAUCUAGCUGUUCUUUGUCCUUUAGCCUUUCUGUAUGCGUACUUUGUUCUUUGAUAAAUAACUAUAUCUCGUACUAGUAUGUGGGCAUACCUAGGGAUGAACAGUUUAUGAAAUAAUAAACGAUCGAUAGUAAAUUGAAUAAAUAAAUGACUAAAACAGUCUUGGUAUUUAAACAACUCUGUUAGGACUAAUUAAACUCUAUUAAGACUAAUUAUCAUAACUAACCUCUAACAGUCUUUUACUAACUAUCAAUUGGUAAACUCUUCAUACUCCUCAAGAUGAAGGACUUGCAUUUUGAAAUCUUGUAAUUAUCCAGUUGUAGCUUUGCGAAAACCAACUUUGGGAGUUUGGUAAAUAGUAGCUAAUCAAAGUAGGGAGAAAAAUCCAGUGGCUGCUUGUUCUGAUAAACCCUUGCUUCAGUUAUCUACUACUUUCCAAAUAUGAUAUCAUCACUAUCUAAAGAUAGCAUCAAUCCACCAUUGUUGUUUAAUCACUAAUCCUCACAUAUUUAUUUCUUAUUCAACAGCUCUCCUGAAACUUUAGCUAAUCCUUAUUCUUUCCUUGCAUAUAUACUCCUUCUGUGUUACUCUUUUAUUCACUCCAUUCCUGGAAGAAGAAAAACACAACUUAACAAGUACUCAAUAAUCUUUGCCAAGUACUAUGAACAUCACAACUUAGCUCUAUCUAUUUCCUUCUAUCUUCUGGGAAAAAAACAAAUUCAGAUCUCCACCUUUCCUGAAAAAAUUCACAAAAUUAGUAAUCUAAGCUAUCUUAAUUUUAGAUGAACAUUUAGUUUACCUGCAAAACCAAAACACCCAAUCAGUAGAGUAUACACAGAGAAAAACAAACAAACAAAACAUUACAGUGAAUGGAUAUAAAACCAGUAAACACACAAAAAAAAUAGAAUGGAUAUAUAAAAAAACCAGUAAAUCUAAAUUAAACGCAAACAAUUAGCUACCUGAAAAAAUAAUUAUUUUAGAAGAGAAAAAAAAAUUACAGUGUACCUAAAUUACUUUCUAAAUUCACAUCUAAAUUCCAAAUUCCUUCCUUAUCAUAUCUAAGUUCAAGCACUCAAUUUGAUUUUCUUAGUCAAUUCUAAAAAUUUAUCUGAACCUAAGGCUUUGGUAAACAAAUAUGCCAAUUGAGUUAAAGAGGAUAUAUGCUUAAGUACUAAUGCUCCUACGCGUCGUUCUGGUAAGGAACCGGUUGUGAAGAGAGAUGUGUCAGGAGGGUCCUCUGAGUCGUUUGUGAGGAACAAAAGAUUGACUCACAUUCAAAUAAGGGGGUAGGAGAGUUUUGUGACGAUGCGCGCACUAAUACAGAAACAUCAAGAAUCGCAACUUCCCUCCCUUGGACUUUCGAUGACCCCUCCCCCUCGAUGAUUCACAUUAGACAUUAGUGUUGUUGUCUCACUACUGCCAUCUGGAUUUUUUUUCUUGCUUGUUUUGAUGUUGCUGAAUUUUAUUCUGGUGUUGAUGUUGCUUGCAUUCUUUACUGAAUUUUAUUUUGGUUGUUGUUCCUGUCAUUAUUGGUUAACCGAGUAAAUCAUCAGUUGCUGCCCAUAAUGGUUUUCUACAUUACCGCCAAUGAUUACAAUUAUAGUUUCUGAUGUUAGUGAGGCUGUUUGAGCUUAAAGAAGAGGUGAAUAAUCUAAAGAAAGUGUUUUCUCAGAUAUUUAGAAAAAUGACAAAGCCAAACUGGGUAAUAGCAGCAACUGAUAUUAUAGACAUGACAAUAUGUUACAGUUAAGGAAGGGUAUCAGAAGUGUGUGGGAACAAUCAAAUCAUCUGUAUGUAGAACAACUUUCACUUCCUCAGGGGGUAACAACAUGGUCUGACUGAACAAGAACAACAAAUUUUGGUUCUGGGCCAAAAUUCACCUUCUCUGCCAAUAUAAAAAUUAGUUUUUCAAAACCCAAUACUUGACCCAUAAAAUUAGGUUUUCAAAACCAAAAAAUUGAAGGGAAGUCAGAUACAUGCAAAUAAGACCAAAAAAUACUCAACCAAAUAUAGGGUUCUACAAACAUCAAAAUUACGAUCAAACAUACACUGGUGAGAAUAAGAAGAAGCUAGUUUCAGGUGUGCCAAAGCGCAUAUGUUUCAAAAAAAAUUCGACCAUUAGAUUUUAACCCGUCGACUGACGAUACAUUAUUCAUCAACAACUAAAUUAUGUACCUCGAGUUAUACUCGUUCCCCGUAUUACGUUGUAUUGACCCCACCUGAAGUGUGUCCAAAUAAGAAGAGGAGGAAGAUACCUAAAAAAGUCAAGAGAUACAAUCGAAGAAGAGAAGAAAAAAGACACUAAGAAGUCAAUGGGUUUUAGCCUCACAACAAGAAAAGAUGAAAACUUAUAUAAUUGUAAAGUCUUUGGAACUAAGCGGUUGAAACCCACUUAAGAAAUGAAGAGUUGAAACCCAUUUAAAAGCCCA
rnacentral:lncRNA from 1 species